rnacentral:ncRNA from 1 species
AUCUUCAGGGCAGGGUGCAAUUCCCUACCGGCGGUAAAGCCCGCGAGCCGAAAGGUAUGAUCCGGUGAGAUUCCGGGGCCGACAGUAAAGUCUGGAUGGAAGAAGAU